rnacentral:rRNA from 1 species
GCUCAGAACGAACGCUGGCGGCAGGCCUAACACAUGCAAGUCGAGCGCUACCUUCGGGUGGAGCGGCGGACGGGUUAGUAACGCGUGGGAACGUACCCUUCUYUGCGGAAUAGCCACUGGAAACGGUGAGUAAUACCGCAUACGCCCUUCGGGGGAAAGAUUUAUCGGAGAAGGAUCGGCCCGCGUUAGAUUAGAUAGUUGGUGGGGUAAUGGCCUACCAAGUCUACGAUCUAUAGCUGGUUUUAGAGGAUGAUCAGCAACACUGGGACUGAGACACGGCCCAGACUCCUACGGGAGGCAGCAGUGGGGAAUCUUAGACAAUGGGCGCAAGCCUGAUCUAGCCAUGCCGCGUGUGUGAUGAAGGUCUUAGGAUCGUAAAGCACUUUCGCCAGGGAUGAUA